CGGGGUGGAGCAGCCUGGUAGCUCGUCGGGCUCAUAACCCGAAGGUCGUCGGUUCAAAUCCGGCCCCCGCAA
rnacentral:tRNA from 1 species